rnacentral:rRNA from 1 species
CGUGAGAUGUUGGGUUAAAGUCCCGCAACGAGCGCAACCCCUAUCCUUUGUUGCCAGCACGCAAUGGUGGGAACUCAAAGGAGACUGCCGCGGACAAACGCGGAGGAAGGCGGGGAUGACGUCAAGUCAUCAUGCCCCUUAUGUCCUGGGCUACACACGUACUACAAUGGGAUGGACAGAGAGCAGCGAAGCCGCGAGGCCAAGCGAACCCCAUAAACCAUCUCCCAGUUCGGAUUGCAGGCUGCAACCCGCCUGCA